AUGUCGGGGCAGCAGGUGGAGAUGGAUGGUGGGAUCAUGGAAGGGGGCAGCCAGAUCCUCAGGGUCUCCACCGCCCCCCACCCCAGCUGUGUCCUGGGCCUCCACUUGCAGGUGCAGAAGAUCCGGGCAGGCUGCAGCACACCGGGCCUGAGUAUUAUGACCUGAAGGCCUCAACAUUUAUCUGGAUGGGAAAUGUUUGGAGAUUUGUGUGAUGGGCAACUGGAGGGGCCAGAAAUUGGUUCAACUGAAGUAACCUUCACACCAGAGAAGAUCAAAGGUGGAAUCCACACAGCAGAUACCAAGACAGCAAGGAGUGUGUGCCUCUUGAUGCAGGUUUCAAUGCCAUGUGUUCUGUUUGUGCUUCUCCAUCAGAACUUCGUUUGAAAGUUGGAACUAAUGUUGAAAUGGCACCACAGAUCGUUUACACAGUGAUGGCCUUCAAGCCAAUUGUUGAAAAACUUGGUUUUAAUUUUAAUUGUGACAUCAAAAUGAGGGGCUGUUAUCCUAAAGGUGGUGGUGAAGUGAUUGUUCGAAUGUCACCAGUUACACAGUUGAACCCAAUAAAUUUGACUGAUUGUGGCUCUGUGACUAAGAUAUAUGGAAGAGCUUUUGUUGCUGGUGUUCUGCCAUUUAAAGUAGCAAAAGAUAUGGCGGCAGUGGCUGUGAGAUGCAUCCAUCAGAAAGGAGAUCAGAGAUCUAUAUGUUAACAUCCAGCCUGUUCAGGAACCCAAAGACCAAGCAUUUGGCAAUGGAAAUGGAAUAAUAAUUAUUGCUGAGACAUCCACAGGCUGUUUGCUGGAUCAUUGCUUGGGAAACGAGGUGUAAAUGCAGACAAGGUUGGAAUUGAUGCUGCUGAAAUGCUGUUAGCUAAUCUUAGACUUGGUGGAACUGUGGAUGAGUUUCUGCAAGACCAGCUGAUUAUUUUCAUGGCAUUAGCCAAUGGAGUUUCCAGAAUAAAAACAGGACCAGUUACACUCCAUACACAAACUGCUAUACAUUUUGCUGAACAACUAGCAAAGGCUAAAUUUACUGUGAAGAAAUAAGAAGAUUAAGAUUACUCUAAAGACACUUAUAUUAUUGAAUUCCAAGGAAUUGGAAUGAGAAAUCCAAAUCUAUAA